UUCCGGUUGAUCCUGCCGGACCUCACUGCUAUCGGGAUGAGAUUAAGCCAUGCAAGUCGAGCGUCUCCUAGCUAUGUUGGAGGCGCGGCGGACGGCUCAGUAACACGUAGUCAAUCUACCCUUGGGACAGAGAUAACCCCUGGGAAACUGAGGCUAAUACCUGAUAUGUGAAAGAUCUUGGAAUAGCCUUUCACAGAAAAGGCGUCAGAUACAUGCUUCUGAUGUUGCCCAAGGAUGGGACUGCGGCCGAUCAGGUAGUUGGUAAGGUAACGGCUUACCAAGCCUAUAACCGGUACGGGCCCUGAGAGGGGGAGCCUGGAGAUGGGAACUGAGAAAAGGUCCUAAGCCCUACGGGGCGCAGCAGGCGCGAAAACUUCGCAAUGCGCGAAAGCGCGACGAGGUUAUCCCGAGUGCUGUCCGAUGAGGAUAGCUUUUCACCGAUGUAAAUAGUCAGUGGAAUAAGGGGGGGGCAAGACUGGUGUCAGCCGCCGCGGUAAUACCAGCCCCUCGAGUGGUGGGGACGAUUAUUUGGCCUAAAGCGUUCGUAGCCGGCUUGGUAAGUCCUCCGUUAAAUCUGACGACUUAAUCGUCAGGCUGCGGAAGAUACUACUGGGCUAGGAGGCGGGAGAGGUCGACGGUAUUCCAGGGGUAGGAGUGGAAUCCUAUAAUCCUUGGAGGACCACCAGUGGCGAAGGCGGUCGACCAGAACGCGCUCGACGGUGAGGGACGAAAGCUGGGGGAGCGAACCGGAUUAGAUACCCGGGUAGUCCCAGCCGUAAACGAUGCAAGCUAGGUGUUGGCGCGGCUACGGGCCGUGCCAGUGCCCCAGGGAAGCCCUUAAGCUUGCCGCCUGGGGAGUACGGUCGCAAGGCUGAAACUUAAAGGAAUUGGCGGGGGAACACCACAAGGCGUGAAGGCUGCGGUUUAAUUGGAGUCAACGCCGGG
rnacentral:rRNA from 1 species